UAGAGGAGAAGGCUGCUUAGCAGAGAAAUGGCAACUCAGCGGAGAGCUGGAACUAGAAACUUUCUGUCAGUGUAACGUCCGCGUGGGUGGUGACCCAAUGAUGGUUGGGCUUCGGGUCACGUGACAGCCUCAUUGUAGCUCCGGAAGAGAACAUGAAGUUUAGGUUGCCUGGAAGAAGCAGGAGACUGAAAGGGAGAACAACAACAACAAAAAAAAUCAAGAUUUCGGGGGAAAUUACCCACAGAGAUGCAAGUGCUGGAACCCUGGGAACCCUGGGAUUGAUGUGGUCCCGUCUCCAACCUGCUGUGGAUUCCUUUCCAAGGGUUGUUGGCAGACAGAUGGAACCAGGCAUGGAGGACUUAAAAGACAGCCCCUGGGGGCGGGGAGGGGGCCUGGGAGCUGGGAAGGCACCCCAGGCCUGUUCUGUUUCUGGAAACCUGGCGACAACCCCAUCCCACACCUCUUUCAGGACUCUAAACCGCGCCCAUCCCCCAAGUCCGCCAUCUCCCUGGCCCUUAACCUCACCCCUCCCUCCCCAGCCCGCCCCUCCCAUCACAGGUGUGUCAGUUUGGGCGCUUCUUGGAUUCUACCCUGAGGCGGUGCGUGGUGAGAGGAGAGAUCUUGAUCUGGCGCUCGCUGAGGUUCAGCAGAUUGGCCAUCUCGACCCGGCGCGGCCGGCACAAAUAACGGUUGAAGUGGAACUCCUUCUCCAGCUCCACCAGCUGCGCGCUUGUGUACGCCGUGCGCGCCCGCUUGGACGCCGCCGACCCCGGGGGGCUCUUGUCCCCUCCCCCGC